rnacentral:rRNA from 1 species
CCUACGGGAGGCAGCAGUGGGGAAUAUUGGGCAAUGGGCGCAAGCCUGACCCAGCAACGCCGCGUGAGGGAAGAAGGCUUUCGGGAUGUAAACCUCUUUUCUGAGGGACGAAGAAAGUGACGGUACCUCAGGAAUAAGCCACGGCUAACUACGUGCCAGCAGCCGCGGUAAUACGUAGGUGGCAAGCGUUAUCCGGAUUUAUUGGGUGUAAAGGGCGCGUAGGCGGGAAAGCAAGUCAGAUGUGAAAACUCAGGGCACAACCCUGGGCCUGCAUUUGAAACUGUUUUUCUUGAGUGCUGGAGAGGCAAGCGGAAUUCCGGGUGUAGCGGUGAAAUGCGUAGAUAUAAGGAGGAACGCCAGUGGCGAAGGCGGAUUGCUGGACAGUAACUGACGCUGAGGCGCGAAAGCGUGGGGAGCAAACAGGAUUAGAUACCCGUGUAGUC